UACGAAGGGGGCUAGCGUUGCUCGGAAUCACUGGGCGUAAAGCGCACGUAGGCGGCUUACUAAGUCAGGGGUGAAAUCCUGGAGCUCAACUCCAGAACUGCCUUUGAUACUGGUAGGCUUGAGUCCGGGAGAGGUGAGUGGAACUGCGAGUGUAGAGGUGAAAUUCGUAGAUAUUCGCAAGAACACCAGUGGCGAAGGCGGCUCACUGGCCCGGUACUGACGCUGAGGUGCGAAAGCGUGGGGAGCAAACAGG
rnacentral:rRNA from 1 species